UACACUCCUGCGGGAGGCAGCAGUGGGGAAUUUUGGACAAUGGGCGAAAGCCUGAUCCAGCAAUGCCGCGUGCAGGAUGAAGGCCUUCGGGUUGUAAACUGCUUUUGUACGGAACGAAAAAGCUCCUUCUAAUACAGGGGGCCCAUGACGGUACCGUAAGAAUAAGCACCGGCUAACUACGUGCCAGCAGCCGCGGUAAUACGUAGGGUGCGAGCGUUAAUCGGAAUUACUGGGCGUAAAGCGUGCGCAGGCGGUUAUGUAAGACAGAUGUGAAAUCCCCGGGCUCAACCUGGGAACUGCAUUUGUGACUGCAUGGCUAGAGUACGGUAGAGGGGGAUGGAAUUCCGCGUGUAGCAGUGAAAUGCGUAGAUAUGCGGAGGAACACCGAUGGCGAAGGCAAUCCCCUGGACCUGUACUGACGCUCAUGCACGAAAGCGUGGGGAGCAAACAGGAUUAGAAACCCGAGUAGUCCC
rnacentral:rRNA from 1 species